GCGGGAUCACAUGAUUGCCGCAAUGCGCCAAUUAUUGGUGCAUUUUAUAUGCCAAUCGUGUGAUUGCACAAUUUAUUGUCCAAUGCGACAAUCAAAAAUAAAUUGUGCUGAUUUGCGGCAAUCAAAUACAACUCUGUGCGUCAAUCAAAGAAGACAAUACGCGUCAAUAACCUGAUUUUUUUUAAAUAAUAUUUUUUCUUGUGUUUGUACCGUCAACAUUUCUUUGUCCUUUAAUAUGGAAUUCGGUGAUUGCAUUGUAUACGAAAAUUCAGCUGAGCUUGAGUUCUUUUCCCCCGAUCAGCAACCAGAAACACCUGUGCCGAAAAAAAGAAA